UACGUAGGUGGCAAGCGUUGUCCGGAAUUAUUGGGCGUAAAGCGCGCGCAGGCGGUUCCUUAAGUCUGAUGUGAAAGCCCCCGGCUCAACCGGGGAGGGUCAUUGGAAACUGGGGAACUUGAGUACUGAAGAGGAAAGCGGAAUUCCACGUGUAGCGGUGAAAUGCGUAGAGAUGUGGAGGAACACCAGUGGCGAAGGCGGCUUUCUGGUCAGUAACUGACGCUGAGGCGCGAAAGCGUGGGGAGCAAACAG
rnacentral:rRNA from 1 species